rnacentral:rRNA from 1 species
CAGCAGCCGCGGGAAUACGAAGGGGGCUAGCGUUGUUCGGAUUUACUGGGCGUAAAGGGCGCGUAGGCGGACUGAUAAGUCAGGGGUGAAAUCCCAAGGCUCAACCUUGGAACUGCCUUUGAUACUAUUUGUCUUGAGUUCGAGAGAGGUAAGUGGAACUGCGAGUGUAGAGGUGAAAUUCGUAGAUAUUCGCAAGAACACCAGUGGCGAAGGCGGCUUACUGGCUCGAAACUGGCGCUGAGGCGCGUAAGCGUGGGGAGCAAACAGGAUUAGAUACCCGUGUAGUCCCUGUCUCUUAUAC